CGGACGGGUGAGUAAUGCUUGGGAAUCUAGCUUAUGGAGGGGGAUAACUACGGGAAACUGUAGCUAAUACCGCGUAGUAUCGAGAGAUGAAAGUGUGGGACCUUCGGGCCACAUGCCAUAGGAUGAGCCCAAGUGGGAUUAGGUAGUUGGUGAGGUAAAGGCUCACCAAGCCGACGAUCUCUAGCUGGUCUGAGAGGAUGACCAGCCACACUGGGACUGAGGCACGGCCCAGACUCCUACGGGAGGCAGCAUG
rnacentral:rRNA from 1 species